ensembl:lncRNA
AUGGAGUUUAUUAAAGAGGAGAGAGAAGACGUGAAGAUUGAAGACACAUUCAGAGUCAAACAUGAAGAGACUGAGACACACACUGUUAUAAAGAUGGAGAUUAUUAAAGAGGAGAGAGAAGACGUGAAGAUUGAAAAAGUAUUCAGUCUGAAGCCAGAAGAGUCUGAGGAACAAACAGAGAUGGCGUCAGUUAAAGAGGAGAGUGAAGACAUGAAGAUUGAAGAAGUAUUCAGUCUGAAACAAGAAGAUACUGAGACACAAACAGAGAUUAAGUUUUUUAAAGAGGAGAGAGAAGUGAAGAUUGAAGACACAUUCAGAGUCAAACAUGAAGAAACUGAGGAACAAACAGAGAUUAAGUUUAUUAAAGAGGAGAGAGAAGACAUGAAGAUUGAAGAAGUAUUCAGUUUGAAACAAGAAGAUACUGAGGAACAAACAGAGAUGGCGUCAGUUAAAGAGGAGAGAGAAGACAUGAAGAUUGAAGAAGUAUUCAGUCUGAAACAAGAAGAAACUGAGACACAAACAGGUUCACAUCAGCGCAUCUCGUCUGCACUACAAUAGAGCCGCUGCACACUGCAGAGACUUUCGCUCCUGUUGCACCAUCACAAAACUGUAUCAUUGCACAUCUUUUUAAGUCUUUUUGAACCAUUAAACUCAUUCAGAUUCCUGUUUCAUGCUGUGAUGUGCUCAUCUGUAAUAGUUGUCAAUGAUUUUCCUGUCAGAUGUUAAAUACUGUAGACAUUUAGUAAUUGCCUUUAAGAUGUAUAUGGUUUAUGUAAAUCCAUUUUGGAGACGUAAGUGUGCUUACAGGAGAUCUGCUGUUAGCAAUACAUAAAACGUGUUUUUACAGCAAAAUCACAAAAAUACUAUACUAUUAGUGUCUUAAUUUAACAGUUCACUUUACAGUAGCUGAACAAAUGUGAUUUUAACACAAGGAACAGUGUUGGUUUCUAAUCCUCUCAUUUGUAAACACUCGUCGCUGUUCUCCACCCUGUUCAGUGAUGACGUAUCCUCUUGCGUGGGCUUCUGGGAUAGAAAAGUGUCUAUCGAUGAGCACUUCAGAAUCUGGAGUGAAGCAGUAGACAUCUAGGGAUUUUUGCCUACUCUUUUAUGAAUACUUAGGUUUCUAACAUACUUCUUUCUUCAGGUACUCUUUUCUCCUACAAUAUAGUAGGUGAGUAGACAUAUUCGAAUGCAACUUAAGUAUACGCAUGUCCAAAUCUCGCAAGAAUUAGUGCACCAUGCAGGUAAUUCUCGCCUACUCUUUUAUGAAUACUAAGGAUUCGGACAGAAUUUAUUCUUUGCCUACUGAUUUUUGCUUACUAUAUACUAGGGAAGUGUGCGGUUUCAAAAACACAGCCACUGGCUCUGUGACAGUCAGAGGAGGGAGCAGCACUGAAGAAAUCUAAUCAGUUCAGCUUUAAGAGUCGUCUCAUUCAGUCCUAACCGACUGCCUGCCGUGUUUCACACCCAUCCAAAUAGUGCACUUCCGAACUCCUUCGAGCCAGAUGGUGAAUCGCAGCAGAGAGAUGAUGUCCAAUUCCAAGCCAGAUCUUCCUGU